AGACCCGAAACCCGGUGAUCUAGCCAUGGGCAGGUUGAAGGUUGGGUAACACUAACUGGAGGACCGAACCGACUAAUGUUGAAAAAUUAGCGGAUGACCUGUGGCUGGGGGUGAAAGGCCAAUCAAACCGGGAGAUAGCUGGUUCUCCCCGAAAGCUAUUUAGGUAGCGCCUCGUGAAUUCAUCUCCGGGGGUAGAGCACUGUUUCGGCUAGGGGGCCAUCCCGGCUUACCAACCCGAUGCAAACUGCGAAUACCGGAGAAUGUUAUCACGGGAGACACACGGCGGGUGCUAACGUCCGUCGUGAAGAGGGAAACAACCCAGACCGCCAGCUAAGGUCCCAAAGUCAUGGUUAAGUGGGAAACGAUGUGGGAAGGCCCAGACAGCCAGGAUGUUGGCUUAGAAGCAGCCAUCAUUUAAAGAAAGCGUAAUAGCUCACUGGUCGAGUCGGCCUGCGCGGAAGAUGUAACGGGGCUAAACCAUGCACCGAAGCUGCGGCAGCGAACGUAUCACCCAAGACAACUUUACGGAGUUGACGAUUGACGGAGCGAAGCGACGUCAAAGCGUUCAUUAAAGUCGAGUUGGCUUAGGGAUACGUUCGUUGGGUAGGGGAGCGUUCUGUAAGCCUGUGAAGGUGUGUCGUGAGGCAUGCUGGAGGUAUCAGAAGUGCGAAUGCUGACAUAAGUAACGAUAAAGCGGGUGAAAAGCCCGCUCGCCGGAAGACCAAGGGUUCCUGUCCAACGUUAAUCGGGGCAGGGUGAGUCGACCCCUAAGGCGAGGCCGAAAGGCGUAGUCGAUGGGAAACGGGUUAAUAUUCCCGUACUUGGUGUUACUGCGAAGGGGGGACGGAGAAGGCUAUGUUGGCCGGGCGACGGUUGUCCCGGUUUAAGCGUGUAGGUGUGUGUUCCAGGUAAAUCCGGUUCACUUUAACACUGAGGCGUGAUGACGAGGCACUACGGUGCUGAAGCAACAAAUGCCCUGCUUCCAGGAAAAGCCUCUAAGCAUCAGGUAACAUCAAAUCGUACCCCAAACCGACACAGGUGGUCAGGUAGAGAAUACCAAGGCGCU
rnacentral:rRNA from 1 species